rnacentral:lncRNA from 1 species
GACUCAUGCCCGGAUCCACGGGUUCAUUAAACUGUAGGCAUGCACAUGCACUGAAGCCAUUUUAAGUGUACAACCAAACCAAGGAAUCAAGCAUUUAAAGGUGUGCUGAAUGAAUGUAUUUGGAAGGGAGCGAGCAGCUAGCAGAAAGCAAACAAAACUCCCAACAGUUCACAAAGUCAUGAGUACUUGACCCUAUCACUUCCAAAUUAAAGUUGAGAACAAGUUUACACAAGGAAACCUAGGGAAUUGAAUAAAUGAAUCCAAAAAAAGUUCUCUUAGCAGUUUGAGAAGCUUUGGCGAGUGAAUUCUGAAGUAUAACAUUCUUGGUGGGAAAAAGAUGCUACAAUAAUAUUGUCUACUACCAUUCUACGAUGUGACACAGCCCUAAACAGUCUACUAGACAUCCACUUUCUAACUCCGCCAUCCAUUCAUUCUUCCUCGAAUACUCUUUCACAC